GAUGAACGCUAGCUACAGGCUUAACACAUGCAAGUCGAGCGACCGGCGCACGGGUGAGUAACACGUAUCCAACCUGCCCUUUACUCGGGGAUAGCCUUUCGAAAGAAAGAUUAAUACCCGAUGUAAAGGAUGGGGAUGCGUUCCAUUAGGUUGUUGGGGAUGGAACGGCUCACCAAGCCUGCGAUGGAUAGGGGUUCUGAUAGGAAGGUCCCCCACAUUGGAACUGAGACACGGUCCAAACUCCUACGCGAGGCAGCAGUGAGGAAGAUUGGUCAAUGGGCGUUAGCCUGAACCAGCCAAGUAGCGUGAAGGAUGAAGGCUUAUGGGUCGUAAACUGCUUUUAUAUAAGAAUAUGUAUUAGAUGAAUAAGGAGCGGCUAACUCCGUGCCAGCAGCCGCGGUAAUUC
rnacentral:rRNA from 1 species